ensembl:lncRNA
AGUCAAGUCACGUUUAUUUGUAUAGCGCUUUAUACAAUACUGGUUGUGUGUCAAAGCAGCUUUACAGUGUUAAACAGGAAAAUAGUUUGUCAACAAUACAAGAAGACAAUAACAGAGCUUCAUACAAUAGACAGGCAUAACAGCUUAGGUCCACUCUGUUAACGGAUGUGUAUUUGUAAGUGGUAACAGUUAGGCAAAGCAAAGGUUGUACUUCCUGGGACAUCUAAGAAGUUAAUCAUCGCAUGUUUCCUGACAUAAUCCAUAACUGUCUGGUACGGGUCAGUCAUGGCAUCUGACUCCAGCACACUGUACGCUCAUCUGAGAAAAUCUUUG